rnacentral:rRNA from 1 species
UGCAGUCGAACGAUGAAGCCCAGCUUGCUGGGUGGAUUAGUGGCGAACGGGUGAGUAACACGUGAGUAACCUGCCCUUAACUCUGGGAUAAGCCUGGGAAACUGGGUCUAAUACCGGAUAGGAGCGUCCACCGCAUGGUGGGUGUUGGAAAGAUUUAUCGGUUUUGGAUGGACUCGCGGCCUAUCAGCUUGUUGGUGAGGUAAUGGCUCACCAAGGCGACGACGGGUAGCCGGCCUGAGAGGGUGACCGGCCACACUGGGACUGAGACACGGCCCAGACUCCUACGGGAGGCAGCAGUGGGGAAUAUUGCACAAUGGGCGAAAGCCUGAUGCAGCGACGCCGCGUGAGGGAUGACGGCCUUCGGGUUGUAAACCUCUUUCAGUAGGGAAGAAGCGAAAGUGACGGUACCUGCAGAAGAAGCACCGGCUAACUACGUGCCAGCAGCCGCGGUAAUACGUAGGGUGCGAGCGUUAUCCGGAAUUAUUGGGCGUAAAGAGCUCGUAGGCGGUUUGUCGCGUCUGUCGUGAAAGUCCGGGGCUUAACCCCGGAUCUGCGGUGGGUACGGGCAGACUAGAGUGCAGUAGGGGAGACUGGAAUUCCUGGUGUAGCGGUGGAAUGCGCAGAUAUCAGGAGGAACACCGAUGGCGAAGGCAGGUCUCUGGGCUGUAACUGACGCUGAGGAGCGAAAGCAUGGGGAGCGAACAGGAUUAGAUACCCUGGUAGUCCAUGCCGUAAACGUUGGGCACUAGGUGUGGGGACCAUUCCACGGUUUCCGCGCCGCAGCUAACGCAUUAAGUGCCCCGCCUGGGGAGUACGGGCCGCAAGGCUAAAACUCCAAAGGAAUUGACGGGGGGCCCGCACAAAGCGGGCGGAGCAU